GCUAAUCAUCCAUUUGGUAGGUAUAGUUGAGGGGGUAGUUCCUUACAGAGUUUUUAUGAUGUCAAUUUGGGGUAAACGUAUGAUCAAAAAGUACAAAAUGAAUGUAUAUACUACACAUUUCAGUCAAUUGCCAACUGCAAAGGCUAAAGAUCCUAGCUGGCAUGGAUCAGAGUCGCAACUAAUAAAUAUCAUCUCAAAAUAAAAUUUCCUAUUAUGCACUUUUUUCUUCCCCUUCUUUAUUAUCAUUUUCAAUUCUGCCAGCUUCAACACUAGUCUUGGUUUGGGAAGAAUCCAUCAAGCUGGCAGCUAUAGCAGCUUUCAAGUCUUCAUCUUCAAAUUCUGUAAGCAUGUCUUCAGCUGGGUUCGAAUGCUGUUGAGUCGAAUUGAUUAUCUGAGAACCCGAAGCCGGGUUACAUGAUUUGGUAAUCCUCUCAGCAUCCUCGGGAGACAGCCACUGCCCAUAACCAUUAGAAGCUUCAGAUGAUGAGAUAAGAAACUCUUUUGGGAAGUUUCCUCUCACCAAAAAAAUGCUCCAGCCAUUGCUCUUCAGAGAAUCCAGAGAGGCUGCAAGGUAAAACUUGGACAGGUGCUCUGGGGCAGCAUAAAGACUGUCAAAGUUAUACCACUCUCCAUUCACUUUCCUGAUACAAAACCAAUGAUCAUGCAAAUGACAAAUAAAUGCAUUUUCCAGAUCAGGAUCAAUCUGUGCAGGCUCUGCAACCGGACUGCUAAGAGGAAUGACUUGCAAAUCCCACACUUCCAAAGCCUUUUGUAGGACCUGUAUACUAAAGUCGCCGUCCA
rnacentral:misc_RNA from 1 species